CUAGCAGUAAAAGGGUUAAAGUAAAACUGUUUUUAAUACUGCAGUAGGGGGUUCUCUGUUGCUGUUUGAAUCAUUCACCAAGUCUAUACAGAAACAUGAGAGCCUUGGUGGGAGAGUAUUGUAUGCUACUAAAAUGGUCUGUGGCUAAGGGACAACUUUACAGCAUAAACAAAUUAUGAGACUUCACACAUCUUAAUAAGGAUGCCAGCUUUUCCUGACAUGAAUCUGUAAAUAUUUUUAUCAAACUUUUGUCAGCCAGCUUCUGAAAUUCAAAUUCUCCAAGGUUGAACAUUUACUUUUCCCAUCUCUAUUUCAUAUGUUAAUUAUUCUCUUGAAAUGAGAAGCAUCAGAAAGAAAUGCUAGAGCUUCUUUUUUUCUUUUCUUUUUUCUUUUUUUUUUUUUUUUGCUACAGAAGAUCUGUACUGCACAGAGAACACGCUUCAGACAAUGAAAAAUGAAGGAGCAACAAGCUGUUUCUUACAAGAGCAACAGGGACGGUGUAGCAUUUCUUGAAAGAAGAGAAGCAUUGGCAAUGCAAGGGAGAAAGUUUUGUUUUGAGCAGUGGAGAUAGAUGAAUCAGGACAAGGAGAGGAAGGGAAGGCAGAAGAAAAGCAAAGGAGAAUGGAGGGGUCUGAAAUGAAGGCAAUGUGAUUAGAAUUUUGAUGAAGAGGCAUUGACAAGAUGAAAGAUCUUUCUCUCUCGCUCCCUCUCCCUCUCAUUUCCAGUGGGUAAAAUCUGUCCUGUUGACACACACUUGUUCUCUUUAUACAACACAACUCUGGAACAAAUAGGAUUCAUGAUCAAUGGUAGUGGCAUGGCCCGAGUGACAGAUCCCUGCCUGGGAGGAUGGCUAAGCAGCUGCCUCUCUUCCUCCUUCACUCUUCACCAAUUCAGGAAUUUUCAAACUGUUGUGAGUUCUCUUAUUUUAUGAUUCCUAUAACUAAAUAAAAAUAUGUACUGCGUGUGACAACAUAUGUACAUAUCCCAGAAUGAAAUGGAUUUGAGGAUUUUAAGCUUUCUGCCUCACAACAUGCAUCAUUAAAGCUUAUUCAUCAAGACUAA